AAAGAAUAAGGAUCAGCCAGGUGUGGACUCCACCCCCACCCAGCAAUGACAUCGCGGUCAAGGCUGGGAGCCUACAGGUGGCUGCCAUGGGUGACCUAAUUUCAGUUGUCUGUUUCAUUCCCUCGAGCUAAAGAUGUAGCCCGCAUCUAAAAACGAGCCGAGGUGUAAGAUAAUCUAUCUUUUUAACGUUAUGGUUCAUACGAUCUAAGACACUUGAGCUGGCUGGAGCACCGGGAACGCGAAGGGCUUCCCCGGUUCUAGUUUCGGGUCUCAAUUCCCUCCGGAAGAGGACACCGGCUGGGCAACCGGGCCCGCGGGGACUGCGGGAACUGCAGGGACUGUGGGGACCUCCCACCCUGACUCCUGCGGCGCCUCUCGGCCCAGCUCGAGCACAGCAGCCUGCAGCUCGACUGGGUGGCUGCUGCGAUCCCCAUGGGAACCGCGCCGGUUGGGCGGGGCUGCCCUCCGCCCUGCUGUCCCCGCAGCCACUUGGCAGGGUCCCUGACCCCGCGCUGCAGGUCCAGAGGGUUUAGAUCGUGGAAGUCACAGCAUGGAGCGUCUGCAGGGAGAACGCCUGCACCCAGGCUGUCUUAGCAGCCUGCUCGGGCUAGGGUGGCCAGGUCCAUACCUUACAACGCCCACUCCUUAGUGUCCCUUCCUCGCCUGUGAACCCUGGAGAACAGCAAUUGCGUGGGUCCUGCUCGGUGCUGCAGCUUCGAAAAAUGAAUGAGAGAGAGUGAGGCAAUAGAGGGAGGCGGGAUAGCCUUCCCUCCUAUGUAGUGGGGUCUUGGCGGUGCAGAGCCUGCCUUGAUUGCCUUGACUCUUUCCCCAAUCACCUUCUUAUUAAACCUGUUUCAGCACAGUGACAGUGGCAGUUGAUGGAUGCAGGAAAUCUUGAAAUAAGGAUCGCACAGACAGCCUCGACAUUUUGUCAGCCCUUCCAUCCCCUAUGCUAGGCGCCGAGGUGCUUGUGCGCUGGCGGCAGGGCUUCAGCAGAGAAAACGCACAAUGUGAAACCUGGCCAACCCGGGGCAAGGAACGUGCAAUGCAAAUGUACACAGAGCUCAAGAGGAAGCUGGGGCUGGGCAUACCGGGCGUGGCGGCUGCCUGGCAAAGGGUAGAGAUGUGUCCUCACUUCAGGAUUCUAAGAGACUUAUGGAAAUUUUUUGGCGCCAACACCUCUUCCCUAGUGGGCUGCAGUUCUCACCUAGGACAUGGCAAAAGGCAGAAGGACAAAUAAGCAAACAAACAAAACCCCUCUAGUUGAUUGAAUUAAGUACAAGAUGGCGAUCGUAUUACUAAUUUCCAUACUUGGGUGGAGCACAGGACCCUGUGCUCGCCAGUCCCGUUCAAUUACACAAUCUGCCAUUUGAGGAAGCAGACCCAAGAGUAUGUCUAUCUAUCUAGUGACUUAUCUUUAAGGACUCAAACAUGCCCAAUGAUGGAAUGCCACAAAGUGAUGGAGAUUGUGACUCUGCCUUGGGUGCCCUCCUCACUGCUCUGGGGAAAGCUUCGAGUACUCCACAGAGAGGACCUGACAGGCCAAGAGGCAGGGAAGAACUGAGAAAGUUAGUCCUGUCAGCAUCCCUGUGAGUGAGUCGGGAAGGUGGUCUCCAUACUCCACUGACAAAUUCAGUUUAACCUGUGAAAAAGAGGACCGGAGGAUCCACUUGAGCCAAACCUGGAUACCUAGCCUGAGAGACAAAUGUUGCUUGUUAUGCUCUGGGUGAUUUGUUGUGCAAAAAUAGAACUACCCUUUUAUAGUGUCAGUAAGUUCUCUUUAAUUCCUAUUUCCUUAGAUAAACAAGAAUUGAUUUUCUUUUUUUUUUUUUAAAUCACCAACAAGUGCAGAACUUAUUAAAUUCUCUACUUC
rnacentral:lncRNA from 1 species